rnacentral:rRNA from 1 species
GUGGGGAAUAUUGGACAAUGGGCGAAAGCCUGAUCCAGCAAUGCCGCGUGAGUGAUGAAGGCCCUAGGGUUGUAAAGCUCUUUUACCCGGGAUGAUAAUGACAGUACCGGGAGAAUAAGCUCCGGCUAACUCCGUGCCAGCAGCCGCGGUAAUACGGAGGGAGCUAGCGUUGUUCGGAAUUAGUGGGCGUAAAGCGCGCGUAGGCGGUUUUCCAAGUCAGGGGUGAAAGCCCGGGGCUCAACCCCGGAAUAGCCCUUGAAACUGGAAGACUAGAAUCUUGGAGAGGUCAGUGGAAUUCCGAGUGUAGAGGUGAAAUUCGUAGAUAUUCGGAAGAACACCAGUGGCGAAGGCGACUGACUGGACAAGUAUUGACGCUGAGGUGCGAAAGCGUGGGGAGCAAACAGGAUUAGAAACCCCGGUAGUCC